GGGUGAGUGGUUGAGCGGUUGAAAACACCAGUCUUGAAAACUGGCGUGCAGCAAACACUGCACCGUGGGUUCGAAUCCCACCUCACCCU
rnacentral:tRNA from 1 species